UACGAAGGGUGCAAGCGUUACUCGGAAUUACUGGGCGUAAAGCGUGCGUAGGUGGUUUGUUAAGUCUGUUGUGAAAGCCCUGGGCUCAACCUGGGAAUGGCAGUGGAUACUGGAAAGCUAGAGUGCGGUAGAGGGUAGUGGAAUUCCCGGUGUAGCAGUGAAAUGCGCAGAUAUCAGGAGGAACACCGGUGGCGAAGGCGCCACUCUGGGCCGAAACUGACGCUGAGGAGCGAAAGCGUGGGUAGCAAACAGG
rnacentral:rRNA from 1 species